rnacentral:rRNA from 1 species
GACGAACGCUGGCGGCGUGCUUAUCACAUGCAAGUCGAACGGAAAGGCCCUGCUUUUGUGGGGUGCUCGAGUGGCGAACGGGUGAGUAACACGUGAGUAACCUGCCCUUGACUUUGGGAUGACUUCAGGAAACUGGGGCUAAUACCGGAUAGGAGCUCCUGCUGCAUGGUGGGGGUUGGAAAGUUUCGGCGGUUGGGGAUGGACUCGCGGCUUAUCAGCUUGUUGGUGGGGUAGUGGCUUACCAAGGCUUUGACGGGUAGCCGGCCUGAGAGGGUGACCGGCCACAUUGGGACUGAGAUACGGCCCAGACUCCUACGGGAGGCAGCAGUGGGGAAUAUUGCACAAUGGGCGGAAGCCUGAUGCAGCAACGCCGCGUGCGGGAUGACGGCCUUCGGGUUGUAAACCGCUUUCGCCUGUGACGAAGCGUGAGUGACGGUAAUGGGUAAAGAAGCACCGGCUAACUACGUG